rnacentral:rRNA from 1 species
AGACGGAGGGUGCAAACGUUAUUCGGAAUUACUGGGCAUAAAGAGCACGUAGGCGGCUAACUAAGUCGGGCGUGAAAGCCCUCGGCUCAACCGAGGAAUUGCGUCCGAAACUGGUUGGCUUGAGGACGGCAGGGGUGAGUGGAACUCCAGGUGGAGCGGUGAAAUGCGUAGAUAUCUGGAGGAACACCGGUGGCGAAAGCGGCUCACUGGGCCGUCUCUGACGCUGAGGUGCGAAAGCCAGGGGAGCAAACGGGAUUAGAAACCCCAGUAGUCC